rnacentral:rRNA from 1 species
CCUACGGGUGGCAGCAGUGGGGAAUAUUGGUCAAUGGAGGCAACUCUGACCCAGCCAUGCCGCGUGAGGGAUGACGGUAAUAUUAUUGUAAAGCUCUUUUCUUUGGGACGAAUAAAGGACGGUACCAAAGGAAUAAGCCCCGGCUAACUACGUGGCAGCAGCCGAUGGAAUGCGUAGGGGUCAGGCGGUGUUCGGAAUGCCUGGGCGUAAAGGGUAUGUAGGGGGUUUGAUAAGUUAGAUGUGUAAUACCCAGGGCUUAACUCGGGUGCUGCAUCUAAAACUGUUAGUCUUGAGUCCUGGGGAGGAUAGUGGAAUUCCUAGUGUAGCGGUGGAAUGCGUAGAUAUGAGGAGGAACCUCAGUGGCGAAGGCGACUAUCUGGAGAGCAACUGACGCUGAGGCACGAAAGCGUGGGGAGCAAACAGGAUUAGAUACCCUUGUAGUC